GACGAACGCUGGCGGCGUGCUUAACACAUGCAAGUCGAACGGAAAGGCCCUGCUUUUGUGGGGUGCUCGAGUGGCGAACGGGUGAGUAACACGUGAGUAACCUGCCCUUGACUUUGGGAUAACUCCAGGAAACUGGGGCUAAUACCGGAUAGGAGCUCCUGCUGCAUGGUGGGGGUUGGAAAGUUUCGGCGGUUGGGGAUGGACUCGCGGCUUAUCAGCUUGUUGGUGGGGUAGUGGCUUACCAAGGCUUUGACGGGUAGCCGGCCUGAGAGGGUGACCGGCCACAUUGGGACUGAGAUACGGCCCAGACUCCUACGGGAGGCAGCAGUGGGGAAUAUUGCACAAUGGGCGGAAGCAUGAUGCAGCAACGCCGCGUGCGGGAUGACGGCCUUCGGGUUGUAAACCGCUUUCGCCUGUGACGAAGCGUGAGUGACGGUAAUGGGUAAAGAGGCACCGGCUAACUACGUG
rnacentral:rRNA from 1 species